GGUUGAGCCUCGGAUCAGGUAGGAAUACCC
rnacentral:rRNA from 1 species